rnacentral:rRNA from 1 species
CCGCCUGGGGAGUACGGCCGCAAGGUUAAAACUCAAAUGAAUUGACGGGGGCCCGCACAAGCGGUGGAGCAUGUGGUUUAAUUCGAUGCAACGCGAAGAACCUUACCUGGUCUUGACAUCCACGGAACUUUCCAGAGAUGGAUUGGUGCCUUCGGGAACCGUGAGACAGGUGCUGCAUGGCUGUCGUCAGCUCGUGUUGUGAAAUGUUGGGUUAAGUCCCGCAACGAGCGCAACCCUUAUCCUUUGUUGCCAGCGAUUCGGUCGGGAACUCAAAGGAGACUGCCAGU